rnacentral:misc_RNA from 1 species
GCAAACUUGGUCAUUUAGAGGAAGUAAAAGUCGUAACAAGGUUUCCGUAGGUGAACCUGCGGAAGGAUCAUUAGUGAAUAUAGCGUGUCUUGCCCUCGAGCAGAGCGCGACCUCUCACUUUUACACACUGUGCACUUUAAAAAAUGUGGAACUUGGACUCGAAAGCUCUUACCGGCUCUAGAGGACUGUUCUGCGACUUUUUAUUUAAACACGAGUUAAUGUAUGUCUUUAUUUUUUACAAAACAAAGAAAAACUUUCAACAACGGAUCUCUUGGCUCUCGCAUCGAUGAAGAACGCAGC